rnacentral:rRNA from 1 species
UACGUAGGGGGCUAGCGUUGUCCGGAAUCAUUGGGCGUAAAGCGCGUGUAGGCGGUCCGGUAAGUCCGCUGUGAAAGUCGGGGGCUCAACCCUCGGAUGCCGGUGGAUACUGUCGGGCUUGAGUACGGAAGAGGCGAGUGGAAUUCCUGGUGUAGCGGUGGAAUGCGUAGAGAUCGGGAAGAACAUCAGUGGCGAAGGCGGCCUGCUGGGCUGUUGCUGACGCUGAGGCGCGACAGCGUGGGGGAGCAAACAGG